AACGAACCCUGGCGGCAUGCCUAACACAUGCAAGUCGAACGAAGCCUUCGGGCUUAGUGGCGCACGGGUGCGUAACGCGUGGGAAUCUGCCCUUGGGUUCGGAAUAACAGUUAGAAAUGACUGCUAAUACCGAAUGAUGUCUUCGGACCAAAGAUUUAUCGCCCAAGGAUGAGCCCGCGUCGGAUUAGCUAGUUGGUGAGGUAAAGGCUCACCAAGGCGACGAUCCGUAGCUGGUCUGAGAGGAUGAUCAGCCACACUGGGACUGAGACACGGCCCAGACUCCUACGGGAGGCAGCAGUGGGGAAUAUUGGACAAUGGCGAAAGCCUGAUCCAGCAAUGCCGCGUGAGUGAUGAAGGCCUUAGGGGUUGUAAAGGCUCUUUUACCCGGGAUGAUAAUGACAGUACCGGGAGAAUAAGCCCCGGCUAACUCCGUGCCAGCAGCCGCGGUAAU
rnacentral:rRNA from 1 species